CCGUAGCCCAAGAGAUCGGGAUAACACCUGGAAACAGAUGCUAAUACCGGAUAACAANAGAUGAUGCCUAUCAACUGUUUAAAAGAUGGUUCUGCUAUCACUCUUGGAUGGACCUGCGGUGCAUUAGCUAGUUGGUAGGGUAACGGCCUACCAAGGCGAUGAUGCAUAGCCGAGUUGAGAGACUGAUCGGCCACAUUGGGACUGAGACACGGCCCAAACUCCUACGGGAGGCAGCAGGC
rnacentral:rRNA from 1 species